AGCAGGGAAGCCGAAAACUGCAUCAAAGAGUAGGCA
rnacentral:ncRNA from 1 species